AUUGAACGCUGGCGGCAGGCUUAACACAUGCAAGUCGAGCGGAGAUGAGGUGCUUGCACCUUAUCUUAGCGGCGGACGGGUGAGUAAUGCUUAGGAAUCUGCCUAUUAGUGGGGGACAACAUUCCGAAAGGAAUGCUAAUACCGCAUACGUCCUACGGGAGAAAGCAGGGGAUCUUCGGACCUUGCGCUAAUAGAUGAGCCUAAGUCGGAUUAGCUAGUUGGUGGGGUAAAGGCCUACCAAGGCGACGAUCUGUAGCGGGUCUGAGAGGAUGAUCCGCCACACUGGGACUGAGACACGGCCCAGACUCCUACGGGAGGCAGCAGUGGGGAAUAUUGGACAAUGGGGGGAACCCUGAUCCAGCCAUGCCGCGUGUGUGAAGAAGGCCUUAUGGUUGUAAAGCACUUUUAGCGAGGAGGAGGCUACUGAGACUAACACUCUUGGAUAGUGGACGUUACUCGCAGAAUAAGCACCGGCUAACUCUGUGCCAGCCGCCGCAGUAA
rnacentral:rRNA from 1 species